rnacentral:tRNA from 1 species
UUCAUCUUUUUAGUACCCAAAAUCCACUGUUAAUGGACAUACAAAGAACAAUUCUUUUACUAGA